rnacentral:rRNA from 1 species
CACGUAGGGGGCGAGCGUUGUCCGGAUUUAUUGGGCGUAAAGAGCUCGUAGGCGGUUCGGUAAGUCGGGUGUGAAACCUCCAGGCUCAACCUGGAGUCGCCACUCGAUACUGCUGUGACUAGAGUCCGGUAGGGGAGCGUGGAAUUCCUGGUGUAGCGGUGAAAUGCGCAGAUAUCAGGAGGAACACCAGCGGCGAAGGCGGCGCUCUGGGCCGGUACUGACGCUGAGGAGCGAAAGCGUGGGUAGCAAACAGG